rnacentral:rRNA from 1 species
GGCGGCAGGCUUAACACAUGCAAGUCGAACGGUAACAUGAGUGCUUGCACUUGAUGACGAGUGGCGGACGGGUGAGUAAAGUAUGGGGAUCUGCCGAAUGGAGGGGGACAACAGUUGGAAACGACUGCUAAUACCGCAUAAAGUUGAGAGACCAAAGCAUGGGACUUACGGGCCAUGCGCCAUUCGAUGAACCCAUAUGGGAUUAGCUAGUUGGUAGGGUAAUGGCUUACCAAGGCGACGAUCUCUAGCUGGUCUGAGAGGAUGACCAGCCACACUGGAACUGAGACACGGUCCAGACUCCUACGGGAGGCAGCAGUGGGGAAUAUUGCACAAUGGGGGGAACCCUGAUGCAGCCAUGCCGCGUGUAUGAAGAAGGCCUUCGGGUUGUAAAGUACUUUCGGUGAUGAGGAAGGUGGUGUAUCUAAUAGGUGCAUCAAUUGACGUUAAUUACAGAAGAAGCACCGGCUAACUCCGUG